GCUGAGCAAAUUCUUGAACCCUUGUGUGCUAUCAAUUACAUGCAAUACAUUUUUGAUGGAAAGACAGGAAUGAAUCUGUAGUUACAAUAUUUCCCUAGGUAGUACUCUUCUGUUUGUCUUUCAAUCAUUUGCUGCUGUUUGAACUGACCUAAUAUGUUUGAAUCGAAUUAUAAGAUCUGUUAUUUCUUUCAACUUUUUAAAACCACUAAUUAUGUACAAUUUUCAAAAGAAACCUAUAAAUUUCUCUCCUUUUAGGUAGUGGACUUGAG
rnacentral:misc_RNA from 1 species